GAUAACUUGGUGUAGUGGUUAUUACACUUGUCUCACAUACAAGAGGUCUCUAAUUAUAUUCUGAAAAUAGUCA